AAAAAAAAAAAAAACAACAACAACCAGUCGUCCCGCAUUCAGCAGCAGGAAGACGGGUGAACAAUAAAAGAAGGAGAAUGAAGACAAACAUAACAGGAGCUGCUAUCAACCACUGCUCACACGCGGACUCCAAAUAGCAAGAUCACACCGAGGUAGCUGACGUCAAAUCCCACCACACCAUGCUCUGCUUUUUAAAAGCACAUAUCGCAGAACCUGCGACCCUUUCGAGGAGAAGCGGAUCAGAUAACGGAUGGAUGCUUAAAGCACGUGGCAGAGGGCACGUGGUGUGACGUCACUUCAGGAGGCGUGGUUAAGUGCCCUGUACGGAGGGGUCAAUUACUAAUCAUUCACAUCAUUCACCACACGAGUACAAGUUAGUCACCGACCGAUCGUCACGUCACCCGAGGAUGAGCGUGGAGACUCAGCCAGAGUGGAAAAUUAGGAGACGCAGAAAAUAGUUUACAGGAAGUCUCUGAGCAAAAACCACGACGUGCGAUUAAGUGUGAUGAGGCUGAUGAGCCAAAGUCUGGCAGCCGAGGCCGUCCGUUGCUCCAAGGUUUAACAUUGCAGCAGGAAGGAUGAUGUGGAAUGAAGGACCCGAUAGGAAAUGAAGAAAAACGGAGUGGGGCCAAGAACUUCGUUGAAAAUGGAUGCAUGGUACGAACGUUAGAGAAGUUAAAUAAUGGAACAAAAUUACAGUCCGAAUUCAGAAAGUAUCUCAAAGUGACCCUUCUAAGUCAAACGUAUGCAAAAGAGAAUCCAUUCCAGCCUUUCCCGAAAUAACAACACCCCAAACAUUUUUAAUAAAAAAAUAACUCUCUGAAAUAUUUAACUUUAUAUAAAGUUUGUUCACUCAU